rnacentral:rRNA from 1 species
GACGAACGCUGGCGGCGUGCCUAACACAUGCAAGUCGAGCGGAGUCAGUAAGAGGAAGUUUUCGGAUGGAAUCUUAUUGAUUUAGCGGCGGACGGGUGAGUAACGCGUGAGCGACCAACCUUGCACAGGGGGAUAACGGACCGAAAGGUUCACUAAUACCGCAUGAGACCACGGUGUUGCAUGACACAGAGGUUAAAGGAGCAAUCCGGUGCAAGACGGGCUCGCGUCCGAUUAGGUAGUUGGAGGGGUAACGGCCCACCAAGCCUAUGAUCGGUAGCCGACCUGAGAGGGUGAUCGGCCACAUUGGAACUGAGAUACGGUCCAAACUCCUACGGGAGGCAGCAGUGGGGAAUAUUGGGCAAUGGGGGAAACCCUGACCCAGCAACGCCGCGUGAAGGAAGAAGGUUUUCGGAUUGUAAACUUCUGUCCUUGGUGAAGAGAAGAAGACGGUAGCCAAGGAGGAAGCCCCGGCUAACUACGUGCCAGCCGCCGCAGUAAAAC